AACCCUAGAUUUCUUCAUCUUCAAUCGCGAGUGGAAGCAACCAGUCCUUAUUAUGCGGCGUAUAAGGUUUUCCGAUUAAAUUCACGUAUUGAAGUAGAUUUUGAGCAAUUGUCAGAGGUGACGUUGUUUGCUGACACUAUUACAGUUCAACAAUUGGGAGUGAUGAUUUGGCAUACCAGAAAGGUCCUUUAGAGAGCUGAUCAUUCUUCCAAUCGAUUGCAAGCAGGUUCGUUUUCCAUAGAUUUGGUGUUAUUUUG